rnacentral:misc_RNA from 1 species
GAUGAAGAACGUAGCGAAAUGCGAUAAGUAAUGUGAAUUGCAGAAUUCAAUGAAUCAUCGAAUCUUUGAACGCACAUUGCGCCCGCCAGUAUUCUGGCGGGCAUGCCUGUUCGAGCGUCAUUACAACCCUCAGGCCCCCGGGCCUGGCGUUGGGGAUCGGCGGAGCCCCCCGUGGGCACACGCCGUCCCCCAAAUGCAGUGGCGGUCCCGCCGCAGCUUCCAUCGCGUAGUAGCUAACACCUCGCGACUGGAGAGCGGCGCGGCCACGCCGUAAAACACCCAACUCUUCUGAAGUUGACCUCGAAUCAGGUAGGAAUACCCGCUGAACUUAAGCAUAUCAAUAAGCGGAGGA